rnacentral:rRNA from 1 species
AACGAACGCUGGCGGCGUGCUUAACACAUGCAAGUCGAACGCGAAAGGUUCUUUCGGGAGCCGAGGAGAGUGGCGCACGGGUGAGUAACGCGUAAGUAAUCUACCCCUGUAUCUGGAAUAACCUACCGAAAGGUGAGCUAAUACCGGCUACGUUUGAGAUGAUGCGAAUGAUUUCACAGAAUGGAGGCCUCUGCAUAUGUUUCCGUACAGGGAUGAGCUUGCGUACCAUUAGCUAGUUGGCAGGUUAAUGGCCUACCAAGGCGACGAUGGUUAGCGGGUCUGAGAGGAUGAUCCGCCACACUGGAACUGGAACACGGACCAGACUCCUACGGGAGGCAGCAGUGAGGAAUAUUGCGCAAUGGGGGAAACCCUGACGCAGCGACGCCGCGUGGAUGAUGAAGGCCCUUGGGUCGUAAAAUCCUGUCAGAUGGAAAGAAGUGUUAUGGAGUUAAUACCUCUGUAGCUUGACGGUACCAUCAAAGGAGCACCGGCUAACUCCGUGCCAGCCGCCGCCGUAA